rnacentral:ncRNA from 1 species
AGGGAGUAUGGUCGCAAGGCUUAAACUUAAAGGAAUUGACAAAAGGGCAUCACUAGGAAUGGAAUCUACGGCUUAAUUUGACUCAACACGGAGAAACUUACCAGGUCUAGACAUAGUAAGGAUUGACAGACUGAGAGCUCUUUCUUGAUUAUAUGGGUGGUGAUGCAUGGUUGUUCUUAGUUGGUGGAGUGAUUUGUCUGGUUAAUUUUGUUAAUGAACAAGACCUCAGCCUGCUAACUAGCUAUGUGGAGGAACCCUCCACAGCCAGCUUCUUAGAGGGACUAUGGUCGCUUAGGCUAAGGAAGUUUUAGGCAAUAACAGGUAUGUGAUGCCCUUAAAUGUUCUGGGCCGCACCUGCGCUACACUAAUGUAUUCAAUGAGUCUAUAGCCUUAGCCAAGAGGCUCGAUAAAUCUUUAAAAUUUCAUCAUAAUGCGAAUAAAUCAUUGUGAUUGUUGGUCUUCAAUGAGGAAUUCUUAAUAAGCGCGAGUCAUCAGCUCGCAUUGAUUACGUCCCUACCUUUUACC